GGGAUUGCCUCAGUAACGGCGAGUGAAGCGGCAAUAGCUCAAAUUUGAAAUCUGGCCCCCCUGGGGUCCGAGUUGUAAUUUGUAGAGAGUGCUUCGGGGGAGACCCCGGUCUAAGUCCAUUGGAACAUGGUGUCAUAGAGGGUGAGAAUCCCGUAUGUGACCGCGGAUCGAACCCAUGUGAAGCCUCUUCGACGAGUCGAGUUGUUUGGGAAUGCAGCUCAAAAUGGGUGGUAAAUUUCAUCUAAAGCUAAAUACUGGCUGGAGACCGAUAGCGCACAAGUAGAGUGAUCGAAAGAUGAAAAGCACUUUGGAAAGAGAGUUAAACAGUACGUGAAAUUGUUGAAAGGGAAGCGCUGGCAACCAGACCUGCCCGUAGGCGAUCAGCCGCUGUUCUCAGCGGUGCACUCGCUCUACGAUCAGGCCAGCAUCGGUUUCGGCGGUCGGAUAAAGGCCUUGGGAAUGUAGCUUCCUUUCGGGGGAGUUUUAUAGCCCUCGGUGCAAUGCGGCCAGCCGGGACCGAGGACCGCGCUUCGGCUAGGAUGCUGGCGUAAUGGUUGUCAGCGACCCGUCUUGAAACACGGACCAAGGAGUCUAACAUCUAUGCGAGUGUUUGGGUGUCAAACCCAUGCGCGGAAUGAAAGUGAACGGAGGUGAGAACCCUGAAGGGCGCAUCAUCGACCGAUCCAGAUGUCUUCGGAUGGAUUUGAGUAUGAGCAUAGCUGUUGGGACCCGAAAGGUUAGUGAAUGUUUUUUAACUGUGUACUUAGAAUGUAAUGCUAACUUAUGGACAGAUGGUGAACUAUGCCUGAAUAGGGUGAAGCCAGAGGAAACUCUGGUGGAGGCUCGCAGCGGUUCUGACGUGCAAAUCGAUCGUCAAAUUUGGGUAUAGGGGCGAAAGACUAAUCG
rnacentral:rRNA from 1 species